CCCCUCCAUCUGUCCUGACUUUUCACCCCACUGCCUCCAGGGGAAGGGAACAGGGCCACUGUGGGGAAGCACAGGCGGUCAGAGGCCCCAGGCCAAUGGUGUGUCUUUUCUGAAGAGCCCUUCUCUGAGAUUCCCACAAACGCAAUCAACAGGACAAGGUUAAAAGGCAAAGGCUUUCUCAAAACACAUUCUUUUGAAAUGCUAAAUGAUAUGGCCAAAGAAGAGCUCAAUUUUCCUCUCAGGACCUCUAUUAUGGAAGAUUUUUAAACAAUCUGCUGACUUAUGAACCCUGAACUCAUGCAGAAGUGAAGGUGAGGCAGCCUCUGAGAACAAAAGCAGAAGAGUUUGAAUUGGGUCAAGUGCACUAGCUCCUGGGUCACUACUGUGAAGCACUCAACUUUCACACCGAUGCUGACAGUCUGGUUUGUUUAAAAAAGAAGAGAAUGAGGAAAGCCAUCGCAGCUUCUUCUCACAGUUACGGUUUGCUCGUUGUCUUGAUAUGGAUCUUCAGUCUGGGUACAGACAUCACAGGGUCUCUUGCACAGUUCUGGAGGGAGCAGGUUGAAGCUUACAUACAAACGCAAGCUGAACCCUUGGAGAAAGUAGAAGUCUGGAUUCAGACAAAGCAAGAUUCAAAUCCCUGCUCUACUUAUUCCUAAGAAUGAGGCCCUGCUCAAGCGGUAGCGCGCUCGCCUGGCAUGCUUGCGGCCCGGGUUCCAUCCUCAGCACCACAUACAAACAAAGAUGCUGUGUCCGCCGAGAAAAAAAAAAAAACUAAAAAUAAAUAUUAAAACACACUCUCUCUUAAAAAAAAAAAA